AUUGAACGCUGGCGGCAUGCCUUACACAUGCAAGUCGAACGGCAGCUCGGGAGCAAUCCUGGUGGCGAGUGGCGAACGGGUGAGUAAUAUAUCGGAACGUGCCCAGUCGUGGGGGAUAACGCAGCGAAAGCUGUGCUAAUACCGCAUACGAUCUACGGAUGAAAGCGGGGGAUCGCAAGACCUCGCGCGAUUGGAGCGGCCGAUAUCAGAUUAGCUAGUUGGUGAGGUAAAGGCUCACCAAGGCGACGAUCUGUAGCUGGUCUGAGAGGACGACCAGCCACACUGGAACUGAGACACGGUCCAGACUCCUACGGGAGGCAGCAGUGGGGAAUUUUGGACAAUGGGCGAAAGCCUGAUCCAGCAAUGCCGCGUGCAGGAAGAAGGCCUUCGGGUUGUAAACUGCUUUUGUACGGAGCGAAAAGGUCUCCUCUAAUACAGGGGGCUCAUGACGGUACCGUAAGAAUAAGCACCGGCUAACUACGUGCCAGCCGCCGCAGUAA
rnacentral:rRNA from 1 species